AGCGAACGCUGGCGGCAUGCUUAACACAUGCAAGUCGCACGACCGGGUUUCGGCCUGGGAGUGGCGGACGGGUGAGUAUCGCGUAGGGAUUUGUCGUUGGGGUGGGGGACAACCUUGGGAAACGUGGGGCGUAAUACCGCAUGACGCCUGUGGGCCAAAGCUCGAGAGGGCGCCUGACGAGGAGCCUGCGUCCGACUAGGUAGUUGGUUGGGUGAUGGCUGACCAAGCCUGCGAUCGGUAGCUGGUCUGAGAGGAUGGCC
rnacentral:rRNA from 1 species